rnacentral:rRNA from 1 species
CAAGCGGUGGAGCAUGUGGUUUAAUUCGAUGCAACGCGAAGAACCUUACCUACUCUUGACAUCCACGGAAUUCGGCAGAGAUGCCUUAGUGCCUUCGGGAACCGUGAGACAGAUGCUGCAUGGCUGUCGUCAGCUCGUGUUGUGAAAUGUUGGGUUAAGUCCCGCAACGAGCGCAACCCUUAUCCUUUGUUGCCAGCGAUACGGUCGGGGACUCAAAGGAGACUGCCGGUGAUAAACCGGAGGAAGGUGGGGAUGACGUCAAGUCAUCAUGGCCCUUACGAGUAGGGCUACACACGUGCUACAAUGGCGCAUACAAAGAGAAGCGACCUCGCGAGAGCAAGCGGACCUCAGAAAGUGCGUCGUAGUCCGGAUCGGAGUCUGCAACUCGACUCCGUGAAGUCGGAAUCGCUAGUAAUCGUGGAUCAGAAUGCCACGGUGAAUACGUUCCCGGGCCUUGUACACACC